rnacentral:rRNA from 1 species
UACGUAGGGAGCAAGCGUUGUCCGGAAUCAUUGGGCGUAAAGCGCGCGUAGGUGGCCUCGUAAGUCCGCUGUAAAAGUCAAAGGCUCAACCUUUGAAAGUCGGUGGAUACUGCGGGGCUAGAGUACGGAAGAGGCGAGUGGAAUUCCUGGUGUAGCGGUGGAAUGCGCAGACAUCAGGAGGAACACCAAUAGCGAAGGCAGCUCGCUGGGACGUUACUGACACUGAGGCGCGAAAGCGUGGGGAGCGAACAGG